UACGAAGGGGGCUAGCGUUGCUCGGGAUCACUGGGCGUAAAGGGUGCGUAGGCGGGUCUUUAAGUCAGGGGUGAAAUCCUGGAGCUCAACUCCAGAACUGCCUUUGAUACUGAAGAUCUUGAGUUCGGGAGAGGUGAGUGGAACUGCGAGUGUAGAGGUGAAAUUCGUAGAUAUUCGCAAGAACACCAGUGGCGAAGGCGGCUCACUGGCCCGAUACUGACGCUGAGGCACGAAAGCGUGGGGAGCAAACAGG
rnacentral:rRNA from 1 species